rnacentral:lncRNA from 10 species
UUUCCUUUUUACUAGAAAUAAAAAGAAAACUGCAAUUUUCGUCUAUGAGCUUUUCUAAUUGCUAGUCUAUUUUUCUAUUGUUUUCACUACCAGAAUGAGUCAUCAAUAUCUGCUGUAGCUUGUUCUUUUCUCUGAUUACCUUACAGACUCACUCAUACCUCUACCAUUGAUGUAAGAUUCCUUAACAUCACCACUUCCCUUCUAAUUAACAUCUGAAAUCUCAAUUCUUAAGCCUGUUUUUUGUGACUUUCACGUUAAAUCAGCCCAUCUUUCUUGACACAACUUUUUCCUCUCCUCUUUCUUCCUUCUUCCAAUCCAUCAAAAAAAAACAAAUUAAGAGCCUACACUGUACAAGUAACAAUUGUUGAGGGUUCAUCAUAAGGAAGGUAAAAUUCUACUUCUUUAAGAGCUGGAAUGACUGGAUGUGCAAACACGACAUGUGGAGAAAGAAGCGAGUGCUCCAGUAAACGAUGGUCUUUCCUUCAAAGACAGCCAGCAUUUCCACGGUCCUGUUCCCAUGCUUUCCUGGCUAUGUGACCUGAGGCCUCAGUUUCUCCAUCGACAAGAUGAAAAUAAUGACAUCACCUAUCUGAGAGAGCUCAUCUGCCUAAUCGCUAGCCCAGUGAACACCGUGGUAGGAAGACAGAGCGAUCCAACUGCAGGCUGCGGGAGAACUGACAAGACCUGGGACUGUCAAUCUCAGGGGAGGCCCUGCUGCGUUAUCCCAUGAGAAGGGCUGCUGACUAUGCCACUGUGCCAAACCUGGACUUUAUCUCUUACAUCGAUUUGAUUUGGUUUCUCUCAGUCCUCAAGUCAGAUUUGUAUCUGAAUUGAUCACUGAGCCUUUGACAAGUGUCAUCUGCUGUAUAUAUUGCAAUUCAUGACAUUUAAGGGCCUGUUGACCUAGCAAUUCGGCUCCCAUGCAGGAAACAAGAUACCAACUUCAUUUAAAAAUAUGGUACAAUUGACAAAUGCUCAUAUUAACUCAAAUACAUAACAGGAGGCAAGAAAGUAUUCUAAAAUUUAUUUAAUGAUGGUAUCUAUGUAGUUUUACCCCAUCUUUAUUCUUUCGCUAAACAAGAAUAUGUUUCUGUAAUGUCAAAGGUAUACUGGGAACUACUACUAGUCUUCCAUUGCUGCUGUGGAAGUGUUUCAAUUUUUGAAAGUGUAAGAGAUGAGGGAAGAAAUCUGGAUAUAUCAGAUUCUUUGGAAAAUAACAGAUAAGUAAACAUGUAAUAUAUUAUGGCUACUAUUUUAAUGCAAAAAUAUAUUUCUACUACUAACAUAUUUGCCAAGGUAUGGUAAGCAUUGUAUAAAGUAAUGACUACUCAAUAGAAUAUCUAUUUAACAGAUUUAUCUUCCUGAAGAAAAUAUGCAAAGAUAAUCUUAAAAUGUAAACAAUGCUAUAGAAUCAAACUCAUGAAACAGCUGUUGUAUUAGUCUGUUCUCAUGUUGCCAAUAAAGACAUACCUGAUACUGGGUGUUCAUAAAGGAAAGAGGUUUAACUGACUCACAGUUCCACAUGGCUGGGGAGGCCUCACAAUCACGGUGGAAGGCAAGGAGGAGCAAAGCCACGUCUUACAUGGUGGCAGGCAAGGGGGCUUGUAUAGUGGAACUCUCCUUUAUAAAAUCAUCAGUUCUCAUGAGACUUAUGAUCAUGAGAACAGCAGGGGAAAGACCCAUCCCCAUGAUUCCAUUACCUCCCACUCGGUUCCUUCCAUGACACAUAGGAAUUAUGGGAGCUACAACUCAAGAUAAGAUUUGGGUGGGGACACAGCCAAACCAUAUCAGUUGUUAAACCCAUAUUUUGCCAAGUCUUAGUUUUAUUAUCUGUGAAAUGAAAAAUAUUAAUACCUAUCUGCCCUACCGACUUCACAAAGAUGCUGUGACAACCAGGUGGAUUAAUAUAUAGAAAAUGAUGUGGAAAAUAAAAAACAUGAUGGGAAAG